rnacentral:rRNA from 1 species
AUUGAACGCUGGCGGCAGGCCUAACACAUGCAAGUCGAGCGGUAGCACAGAGAGCUUGCUCUCGGGUGACGAGCGGCGGACGGGUGAGUAAUGUCUGGGAAACUGCCUGAUGGAGGGGGAUAACUACUGGAAACGGUAGCUAAUACCGCAUAACGUCGCAAGACCAAAGUGGGGGACCUUCGGGCCUCAUGCCAUCAGAUGUGCCCAGAUGGGAUUAGCUAGUAGGUGGGGUAACGGCUCACCUAGGCGACGAUCCCUAGCUGGUCUGAGAGGAUGACCAGCCACACUGGAACUGAGACACGGUCCAGACUCCUACGGGAGGCAGCAGUGGGGAAUAUUGCACAAUGGGCGCAAGCCUGAUGCAGCCAUGCCGCGUGUGUGAAGAAGGCCUUCGGGUUGUAAAGCACUUUCAGCGGGGAGGAAGGCGGUGAGGUUAAUAACCUCAUCGAUUGACGUUACCCGCAGAAGAAGCACCGGCUAACUCCGUGCCAGCAGCCGCCGUAAGAC